GCGCACCAGGCGAGAAACCUCCACAAUGCACGAAAGUGUGAUGGGGUUACCCUGAGUGCCAUCCGACGAGGAUGGCUUUUCACCAGUGUAAGGCGCUGGUGGAAUAAGGGGAGGGCAAGGCUGGUGCCAGCCGCCGCGGUAAAACCAGCUCCUCGAGUGGUCGGGAUGAUUAUUGGGCCUAAAGCGUCCGUAGCCGGUCUGGUAAGUCCCCGGUUAAAUCCGGCAGCCUAACUGUCGGCCUGCUGGGGAUACUGGCUAGACUUGGGGGUGGGAUAGGCUAAAGGUACUCCCGAGGGUAGGGUGAAAUCCGUAUAAUCCGUGGGGGGACCACCAGUGGCGAAGGCGUUUAGCUGGAACAC
rnacentral:rRNA from 1 species